rnacentral:lncRNA from 1 species
UAAACUUACACAAAGUAUGUAAUGCAAACUGAAAAAAAUGGGGUUCGAACUCCCGACGAAAAGGUAUAAUACAAAUACCGUAACCGUUCGGCCAACAUUGACUAAAUCGUAAACUUAGUGUAUUGACCUAAUUUUAUGAUAUUGAAUUUUUUUUACUUCAAAACGCCAUAAUACUGUGCUCUACCUAUAGGUCAGACAUUGUUAUUAAAAGCCGGUUUUGGAUUGGUUGAAAAAAAAGUGUAGGGUAACCCGUAAAGAUUCAAUGAGACGCAAGCUGAUUGGAUAAAAAUGUUAUGUUUACAAUCAUAAAAUUUCGUCAAAAUUAAGCAAUACAAUGUUUUCUGUGAAAUUUGGAAUAUUUUACUAGUGUCUGGUUGAAUGCUUGACUUUUCAAUUCUCUAUUUAGAAUAGUAGGUGUAAGUGGGCAGUUUGCCUCUAAAUGCCAUUCAAGAAAGUGGGUAGGUUUGUCUGAAGAAAAAUUGUAAGAAAAUGGAUCGGAUAAGCCUACAUAAAAUUGCUAUUUUUAUAUGUCUGAAAUGCUGUCUUACUGAAAGAAUCACAUUUUAAUUGUCAUUUCUCAAUUUUGGGGCAUGAGACAGGGUCAUUUCUUAUAAUUGAAGUCUACAGAAAAAGUAAUAGAAGUGUCUGACCUAAAGUUAGGUUUUGUGGUGUACUUUUAAUAAUAGAACGGUCCGUUAUUUAGGUAGUGUUAUUCGGUAUGAUAGCGGUUCUUACCUAAAUAAGGCAAAGUAAGUCAUACUGACAUCCCUAACCGGUGGACGUGUAUAUAAAUUGACUCACCAAACUACAUGCGCACUUUUGGUUUGCUGCCCACGUGAUGAUAGCGUCUAAAAAUACUGUCGCAUCUCGUUCUAUAUUUAUUAAUGUUUACAAAAUAAAGCGUUGGAACGGUUUAUUAAAGUUCAUAAGAAAACCGAAUAUAUUCGAAUAUUCCCUUAAUUCUAGAAACUAUAAACUGGUCAAUCAUUAUGUUUCUUGUAAAUAUAUGAAACAGUGGCGGCAUUUUGCCUUUCGGUGAUAAUUUAUUUUAAAAAUUACAAUUCACAAUGUGUGUGUUAGUCGCUUUAAAGGUGAUUAGUUUCACUUCAUUUUUAAGUUAUAUAUUCCACCAUUAAAGGUUUUAAUCCAUAUUUUCAAAAUUUUACCACCAUUAUCAGACUAAUUUAACGCUAUACAUCCUAUAUUUUACUAUAUAUUGUAUAUAUUUAGUAACUCGUCAUCCAGUAUGACGUACUUCCUGUCUUCUACGCACUUGGCCCGCGUGACAGGUUAUUGUGGAGUGACCCAUGUCUCUGCUAAAUUGCGAGGUUUAAUUGUUUGUGGUUUCAACAGGCGGAUUUUAUUUUGCCGAUUUACACUAUGGAAUGUGAAGGAUUGAAAGGAUUGCGUUCACAGUACUGGCUAAUACAAUGUUAUUUUAAUCCGUCAUAUCAGUCUCAUGUGGUGCAUGUCAAUCCGAACUCGUCAACUGAUGGACUUUUGGAUCAUAAGAGGCUAUUUACCACGUAUUGAAGAAGGAGAAAUAAGACAAUAGCGUGCAGUCACCGUUUGGAUUGAAACGAUGUUUCAUUUUUUCGGUCGUUUUAUUCUCACGGGAUGCAUUGUAAAUUACCCCACCCAUAAGCAAAUUAGGAUAUGGAAAAUCCAGGAAUGAUAAAAAUAGCUCGGAUUGAAACCGGAAACUCAUUGCAGACGAUAAAAAAUGAAGAAAAAAGAAAGAGAAGGAAAUUUCAGCAUGCAGGACUGUAUUCUCCUGACAGGAAUAAUAGGCGAUAAAAGAGGACGAAAAGCAACCAGAAAUUACUGCUAAACAAUCGCAAACGAAGGUUACAAAGUACAAGUUGCACAUUGGCUGUGUGAACUACCAGAAAGGGAAGUUUCGACAAGUUACAUCUAGAUAUAGCGGUGGCACUCGAGAAGUUUUGUAAUGAGAAGGACGUUUUACAGUCUGUUGAAACAAUUUUCGAAAUGGCAAAAAAUGUUUUUUCCUCAUGGCAAAAGCUGUUUCGGUUUGUUGUCAGAGAUGGGUGCUUGUUUGGGUACAUUUAAGGGUGACAGGAUGGAAACAUUUCAUAACAUUGAUUGAAAUAAGUGGAGUCUCCAUGAACACUUGAGAUCAAAUGGAGUUUAUUCUUCUCAGUUUUAUGUUCACCUUAGAACAAGGUCAUUGGAAAUAAUUGCUGCCACCGAUAAAACAGAUGAGGCCUCUGAAGAUGAAUCAGCGAUGAAAAGCACAAUAACAAGGUAUUGAAACUAGACAUGAAAUUAAAAUGGAUGGAGCUGAUGGAAAUCAAAGUGCAGAUAAAAAUCCAUUUUCAAAUUUCAAGAAGUCAAGUUUACUUGUAAAUGGAAUGAGACCAGGGGAAAUAGCAAUCAAUCAAGUACACAAAAGAAAAACAGUCAUUGUAUGACAGCUCCAUAUCAUAUUUGAGUUGCUAUUCCGUGAAAGGAUGUUAUGAAACGACUUCAAGGAAUACAGCCUUCGAAGAAUACAAUCCCUUCCUGGAUGGAUUUCGGAUGGCAAAUAUGUCAGUUGGUGGAAUAAAGAUACACAAUGCACUAGCAACAAAUGCCGGUGAUAACACACAAAAUGCAGAACCUAAGUUAGAUGAAGUAGUCAUGUAUACUCCCCAAGAUAUACAUGGCUUUGAAGCAGCUUGAGGUAAAGAUACCGGUACAUAUUUGGUUCCUGGUGUGGUUACAAGGAUUAUCCCAGAAAAAACAGUGAUUUAUUGGUACAGAGAUGGACAGGUUAUAAAUUUUGGACGAGAUUUGCAUACUAGUCUGCCCAAGACACAGAUAUACAUUAGUCUGCCCCAGACACAGGCAGAUAGUAGUCUGUCCCAGACACAGGCAUAUAUCAAUCUGCCACAGACACAGACAUAUACUAGUAUGCCAGUAUGCCCCAGACACAGACAAAAAGUAGUCUUCCCCAGAUUAAGAAUAUACCAGUCUGCCCCUGACACAGACAUAUACCAGUAUGCCCCAGACACCGACAGAUAGUAGUCUGCCCAGACACAUACAUACACCAGUCCGCCCCAGAGACAGACAUAUAACAGUAUGCAACAGACACAGACAUAUAGUAGUCUGUCCCGGACACAGACAUAUACCAGUAUGCCCCAGACACAGACAGAUAGUAGUCUGCCCCAGACACAGACAUAUACCAGUCUGUCCCAAACAGACAUAUACCAGUAUUCCCCAGACACAGACAGGUAGUAGACUGUUCAAGACACAGACAUUCACCAGUCUGCCCCAGAGACAGAUAUAUACCAGUAUACCCAAGACAUAGACAUAUACCAGUCUGCUCCAGACACAGGCAAAUAGUAGUCUGUUCCAGACACAGACAUAUACCAGUCUGCCCAAGACACAGACAGAUAGUAGUCCGCUACAGACACAGACAUACACCAGUCUGCCUCAGAUACAGACAUAUACCAGUCUGCCCCAGACACAAACAUAUACCAGUAUGCCCAUGACAAAGACAGAUAGUAGUCUGCCCCAGACACAGACAUAAACCAGUCUGCCCCAGACACCGACAUGUACCAGUCUGCCCCAGACACAGACAGAUACUAGUAUGCAAAAGACUCAGACAGAUAGUAGUCUGCCACAGAAGCAGAUAAUACAUGUAUGCCCAAGAAUCAGUCAGAUACCAGUCUAUCCCAGCCCAAGACAGUCACUAAGGAGGUGAAGACCUUAUCGUCUGAUGAGAUAUCAAUUGCACAUAUUGAUUUGCAUGUAUUGUUGUUGGAAAUAAGAUUGGAGAGGGAUCAUUUAGAGAGGUGAAUAAAGGCAAUUGGAUUGGCACUGAUAUCGCUAUCAAAAAAUUGCAAGUUAAAAGAAUGAGGUCUUGUAAGAAACUUUGCGUGAAAUUGCUGCACAUAGCAGAAUAAGACAUCCCAACAUUGCGCUCAUAAUGGGUCUUGCAGUGGCCAAAGACCAUCUGUAUCUGAAAGCAGAAUAUGUUAAAGGUUUGAAUCUUGAUGAUGUAAUAUUAGUGAGGAAAGUCAGAAACUAUAUAUGGGCAAAAAUAUUUAAAUUUCAUUGCAAAUUGCGCAAGCUGUGGUACAUCGGCAUAACCAGAAACUGGCUAUAAUUCAUCUUGACAUCAAGCCAGAAAACAUUAUUUUUUCAGAGAAUGCUGAUGUUGUGAAACUGUGCGAUAUAGCUCUUUCAAAAUUAAAUACAUUAAACAAUACACUGACAACAUCUGAAAAACAAAACGAACUUCAGCCCGGAACACCUGCCUACCAAGUACCUGAAAAAAGUUUGAACCACUCACCUGCUUGUAACAGUACUGAUGUUUGGAGCUUGUCAUGCAUCAUAUCUGAGGUAUUUUCAGAAGAGCAAGUAUGGCCUCUAGAGGGAGAUUCUCUGAAGGAAAUCACUAAACUAAUGGAAAAGAAGGGAAAACUAUACAGUCUCAGAAAAAUGUUGGAAGAUCAGGCUAUUCCAGGAGUGGUAAACGUGGUCAGUCGUGGACGAAUUACAACACUGAAGAGCGGCAGGCAGCUAUUGAAUUUAUUGCAGAGUUUAAAUCUAGAUAUAUCUCAGUUGUAUAGGCUCACAUGAGCUUCGUCUCAUGUUAGAUUUAACUAUGUCUCAUAGUUGAUUGAAAUUGUGUGUGAUUUUAGCUCACCUGAGCCAAAAGCUCAAGGUGAGCUUUUGUGACCACACCAUGACUGUCGUCCAUCAAAAUCUUCUUCUUCCAAACAACUGGGCAAAUUUACUCCAAAUUUUACAGGAAUGAUCCUUGGAUCCCCCUUAUAAAAUUGCCCAAAGAAUUGAAAUCCAUGCAGAACUGUGAUUGCCAUGGCGACUGAAAAGAAAAUCUUCUUCUCGGAAACUGUCAUCUUGAUUUGAAAAACAUUUUGUAGGAACGAUCUUUGGAUGACUCUACAAAAAUUGCCCAAGCCGUUCUAUUUCGAUGAAAACAUGACCGCUGGGGGCUGAACAUAGUUUCCUUAUAUGUCUCUAUAGUAAACUUCAAAAUUAUUCUUCUCAAUCACUUGGUAGAUUUACACCAAACUCUGGAUCUUCAUGAAAUUUGGUCAGAAUGUUUGUCUUUAUGAAGUCUAGGUCAAGUUGAAAUAUGGGUCAUCUGGGAUCAGAAACAAGGACAGUCGGUGAAAUAAAAAAAAUCCCUUGUGUAUGCUAUAGAGCUGAAUUUUACACUAGAUCUUCUUCAUGAAAUUCAAUCAGAAUGUUUGGCUCAAUGAAAUCUAUGUCAAGUUUGAAUACGAGUCAGCACUGGUCAAAAAGUAGGUCACCUGGUCAAACCAAAGUAAAAUCUUGUGUAUGCAAUAGGGAUUGCAUUUUAUACUAGAUCUUCGUGAAAUUUUGUCAGAAUGUUUGUCUUGAUGAAAUCUAGGUCAAGAUCGAUUAUAAGUCACAUACUAAGUCAUCCAGUCAAUUAAAAAGAAAAACAUUUUGUAUGGAAUUAGUCCUCUCCAGGCUUUUCUUAGCACAAAUUCUCCUCCAGUCACAUUUUAGCAAGAUUUUUCCAGGUGUUCUCAAGUGAGCGGCCUAGGACCAUUUCGUGCUCUUGUCUUAAUUUCUUAGUGCAAUUUUGACAAUGUUCCUUUGUUGUUUAAACAUUGUAAGCAUUUUUCUUUCUUACUUUUUAAAGUCUUAUUGAAGUUUUAUAAGUUUAUCUGGUUUUAUUAGCUCAUUUCAGCUACAUUAACAUUUGCUUCUUUGUUGUCCAGAAUUGUUAGCACUGUUCACAAUUUCUCAAGCUGUAAAAUGUGUUUAUGUUGUUGUUUAAGCUCACCCGAGCUCAGUUUUUUUUAUUAGAUUUAAUGAGGUUUUCUCUGGCAAGAGAAAGUAUACUCAUACGUGUGUACACUUUCACAGUCAUUUGAAUAGUUCUAAAGUUUGUCUCGUACAAAAUGUGUACAAAAAUAGUUGGCCUUAUUUCUGAUAACUUUAUUUUUGACAUUAAAAUUUGUUUAGAAAUGAUUCGAUUUCUGUGUUUAAUAAAGUUAAAAGUUGUUAUUGAUAUAUUUUGAUUCCUUUGUUGUAAUAUCUCCACUAGUAUGUUUUGUUACUGAUAAUCUAGGUUAACGAUGACUGAGUCAGUCUUUUUAAGUAAAACAAAUUGCAUGCAAAAGUUAUUUCCCUUCCACUGCCAAAAUCUCUACCAACAUCAACAACAACAACAACAAUAUAAGGGUGAUUACUACCAAGAAAGGAAAUAUUACUUUAUUAGUCCGAUUUCUCUAUUUCUGAAGCGUCAGUCUCAAAUAUUCAUACGGCAUUAUCUUCACUUAACACAUUGAAAGACACAGCAACUGAAAAUUUCUUUUUAAAACUGUCAACCAAACAUACAUGUACUCACGUAGUAAUAGAAUUAUACUGCUUGUCCAAGUUUGAUAAUUUUGGCACAUCUUUAAUGGAAAUCAAGGCAGCAUGUUAGACCAACACAAAUCAUUAUGUUCAGAAGUGUACAUGCGCUUGCACAAUUGAUUAUGACUACUGACUGAUACAUUAUUUAAGACUCAAGAUAGGAAAAGUAAGCUUAGGGCAUUGACUUUUACCUGAAGAACAAUUUUCCAGAUAUUCCAAGGUAAUGUAUUGUAGACAAUUUUCAAUGUUGUCCAUUUCGUCUAUAAGGUUUAACAUAGUUGUGAACAAGUUGCAAGGGCUUCUUCCGCAUUUAUAGUUACAGAGCAGUUUGAGAACUAGUUAACACUAAAGUUUAAAAUAAUAAAUCUUGCAAUUUCAUAUAUUUUAUGGAUUAUUAUUUUUGAUACUUAAGUAACGGUAUUAUUAGUGGAAAGAGGAUGGGAGACGUAAGAACUGAUAAGAUUUAUGAUUGUGUUACAAAUUGUACAUCUUUAUAAAAUUUCCAAGCUCUAAAAUAAUGUUCUAAGUUGUAACUUCUAAGUUCCAAGUUGUUAGUUCUAACUUGUAAGUUCUAACUUGUAAGUUCCAAGUUGUAAGUUCUAAGUUGUAAGUUCUAAGAUUUAAGAUUUAAGUAGUUUCUCAAAAUUUUGAAGGUUAUCUUGGAUUUUGAGCAAUCGGCCUAGUCAUAUCAAUAUCCAUUUCCUGAAACUACAUACAAUGUACAUUUAUACAUAUGAAAAUAUUUCUCGUGUUCAAAAGUGCAGUCAUAUCGGUCAGGGCCCUGGGACUACUUGCAAAGAUACUCUAGAUUAUGAACAGGACAAAACUAAAAGUUUAUUUACCCCCCGUAAAAGUUGAAGAGUGAUUAGAAAUGGUCCCCAUCUGUGCGUCCGAAACGCUUUUGUCCGCAGCAUAACUCCAAAAGUACUCGACGGAUUUCUUUUAAACUUUAUACACUAACAGAGUACAUUGGGAGGAAGUGCUGUGUGCAAGAACAAUAACUCUAACUUGUUGAUUUUCUAAAUAUUCCCAUUUUGUCCGGAGCAUUACUUCAAAGGUACGGGGUGGACUUCAUUCAAACUUCAUACACUGACAGAGUACAUUGGGGGAAGUGAAGUUUGCCAGAACAAUAACGCCACAUUAUCGAGUUUUUAAAUUAUGCCCCUUUAUUAUAUUAACUUUAACAUUUUGUCCGGAGUAUAACUCCAAAAGUACUAAACGGAUUUCUUUCAAACUUCAUACACUGAGUAUAUUAGGAGUAAAUUCAUCCUUAAAUUCACGUUUCCCGACGAGGGAUUGACCAUGUCUAAUAUGGCUCUUGUUUUAAUACUGAUCUUAAACACAAUUGUAUCAUCUAUUAACAUAUGUAAGUACCAGUAUGCAAAAAAUUCAUUUAAUGUCAGGAAACAAAUACAUGUACAUAAUUAUUUCAGCGUUACAUGAGCAAAUUGAUCGAGGGUAAAUAAUAUGAUAAUAUGAACCAAAAUAGUACGCCAGA